rnacentral:rRNA from 1 species
GACGAACGCUGGCGGCGUGCUUAACACAUGCAAGUCGAACGAUGAAGCUGGAGCUUGCUCCGGUGGAUUAGUGGCGAACGGGUGAGUAACACGUGAGCAAUCUGGCCUUGACUCUGGGAUAACUGCGGGAAACUGUAGCUAAUACCGGAUACUUUCACUGGAAGGCAUCUUCUGGUGAAGCAAGAAUUUCGGUCAAGGAUGAGCUCGCGGCCUAUCAGCUUGUGGGUGAGGUAACGGCUCACCAAGGCGAAGACGGGUAGCCGGCCUGAGAGGGUGACCGGCCACACUGGGACUGAGACACGGACCAGACUCCUACGGGAGGCAGCAGUGGGGAAUAUUGCACAAUGGGCGCAAGCCUGAUGCAGCAACGCCGCGUGAGGGAUGAAGGCCUUCGGGUUGUAAACCUCUUUUAGCAGGGAAGAAGCGAAAGUGACGGUACCUGCAGAAAAAGCACCGGCUAACUACGUGCCAGCCGCCGCCGUAA